CCGUCAAGGGAGAAAUAUCGAAAACUCGACAAAGUCAUUUGUAAUCUCGCGUGUAUGCGCGCGAGUGUAUUUAUUUUUAACAAUUGUGGCCUGGGUUGUGGCGAACAACGCAGGCAUCGUCUGAUAAUCCGUCGUUUCGAGAGCAAAGACGAAAUAAGGCGACGCGAGUAUGUUCAAAAGCGGCUAAAGAACCGGAACUGCCGUUCCUCGACGGUGGCGAGUGUUCGAUAACAAUAAUUUUCAUUCCUCAAUCGUAUAAGCGAGAUUAUCAACCGCGCGAAUAAAUACGAGUCGCAAAUCGGCCGUUCGGCGGACAGGAGGGAGGAAGAUUCGGUGAAGCCGGAGAAUUGAUACGUAGAUGAGAAAUCAGCGCUCGGUGAGCUGAACAAGGAAAAGUGUGCGUGUGGGAAAGGUUCGAAGAGCGGUCAAGACUUUGCGCUGAUAUCGGCGAAUAUCAGCGGUGCGAGUAUCUCGGCUUCACCUCGUAUGGCUCAGGGUAAAAUAUGGCCACGGUAUACGAGAGCCCGUUCCUUUCGAACAGGCUUCGCCAGAUCGAGGAGAGAUACGAGGAGCCGACUACGUUCGGCCGUUGCGACUGCACCAGCUACAGCUACCUCGCCCUCAGCGUCGUCCUCUUCGCCGUCGGCACGGCGAUAACGAUUCUAGCCCUCGGCGAUGUCGCCAACGGCUACAUAUUCUCACACCUAGGACACAUGUGGCUCGUAGGACCGAUAUUCAUAUGCUCCGGACUGAUGGUCGCUGUUAAGUGCAUGCUCUACCUCAGGCGAAAAUCCGUCAUACAGAUGAUAUACCAUCAGCGACAACUAUUCCGACAUUUACAGGAACUGGCCGGCGCUCAGGCGGUGAAUGGGUCCGGCACAGGAACCCCUGGCCCGCCCCCGUACGAGGUCAUCACCCAGGGUCAAGGACCAAGUGAGCUGCCGCCUCCUUCGUACGCCGAAGCUGUCGCUCUUCUUCAGCAAGCAGGUGUUCAAGAUGACAAGCUCCCUGGAGUUGCGACAUCCUGUACAUCGGUAGCAGUGGGCGAGGCGGGAAGGACCAAGCCUUGAAUGACCCACGUCGGAAUUCACUCUUUUGUGGAUACCGGAUUGCAUUGUGUGUCACUGCUUCCUGCUUCGAUUGGAUAGUCAGUACAUUGGGGAAAAAAAAGAAGAACGACAGCAACUUUUGUAUUGUUACACAGCUUGGAACUGAAUAGAGAGACUGCCGUUGUCACUGCAGCGGACAAUUUGUCGACCUUCACAUAUUGUCGGCUGGCUGGGUACUGGUGCCGAUUUGGACUCAGCAGUCAUUGCAGUUCUGGGUAGAUAUCCGUGACCAGCUUUGUCAGACGAGUUUGAUUUGGUUAGGAUUUGAGGGUGUGAGAGGUGCUCCACGGUCAAAUAUCUAACGCGUCAA
rnacentral:misc_RNA from 1 species